rnacentral:rRNA from 1 species
AACUCUGACACAGGUGCUGCAUGGCUGUCGUCAGCUCGUGUCGUGAGAUGUUGGGUUAAGUCCCGUAACGAGCGCAACCCUUGUCCUUAGUUACCAGCACGUUAUGUGGGCACUCUAAGGAGACUGCCGGUGACAAACCGGAGGAAGGUGGGGAUGACGUCAAGUCACCAUGGCCCUUACGGCCUGGGCUACACACGUGCUACAAUGGUCGGUACAAAGGGUUGCCAAGCCGCGAGGUGGAGCUAAUCCCAUAAAACCGAUCGUAGUCCGGAUCGCAGUCUGCAACUCGACUGCGUGAAGUCGGAAUCGCUAGUAAUCGUGAAUCAGAAUGUCACGGUGAAUACGUUCCCGGGCCUU